AUGGAUGUAGAAGACAAAGACUCAGAUGUCUAUUUGACACCCAUGGGAUAGGUAGCAAAAUUACUACAAGCUUCCAGAGCCAAGGUUGGAGAAACAACUUACAUUUUUUUUAAUGUAAGCCAAAGGAGAGGGAAAUAUUAGGAAAAGGUCAUUGCAAGGAGCCAUGUAAGUUAGUUUGUUUGAACCAGAGAGAAAUUUUUGCUGUUCUAUUGAAGACUGAUUAAAGAAGCCACCACCUCUUUUUCUUUCUCAUUUUGCCAACCACACAAUUCUUUAGGUAAGUGUCAA
rnacentral:lncRNA from 1 species